rnacentral:rRNA from 1 species
UACGGAGGGGGCGAGCGUUAUUCGGAAUUAUUGGGCGGAAAGGGCGCGUAGGCGGCCCGGUAAGUCAAAGGUGAAAUCCCUCGGCUCAACUGAGGAACUGCCUUUGAAACUGUCGGGCUUGAGGCCGGGAGGGGGUAGCGGAAUUCCCAGUGUAGCGGUGAAAUGCGUAGAUAUUGGGAGGAACACCAGUGGCGAAGGCGGCUACCUGGACCGGUUCUGACGCUGAGGCGCGAAAGCGUGGGUAGCAAACAGG